rnacentral:rRNA from 1 species
UGGUGUUCAUGGCGUUGUGGAACCACUCCAAUCCAUCCCGAACUCGGCUGUGAAACGCAACAGCGGCGACGAUAUUUGGGGGGCAGCCCCCCGAGAAAAUAGCU